GUUGUUAAAACUUUUGUCAGUGAGGAGGGGGAGGGGGUAUUUUUUCACACCCCUGACCGACAUAAGUUUUACCAACAGAAGUAGCAGUGUAGACAUAGUCCUUAGUGUUGCUGCAUAAAAGCACAGUAGCAUUCUAGCACCAUCCACACUGCAGAACCAAAGUCAAGGAGACAGUCACAUUGCAACUAAAUUCCCCAUAGGGUAGAUAGGGCUUAAUACAAUCAGUCUUUUCUGUAGUAGGAUACCUGUACAUAUACCUGAAUUUUGCACUUUGCUUCCACAAGCUGCAGUUUGGUCUGUGCCAGUUCCAGCUCCAUCUCCCUCAGCUGCUUCUUGAGUGCAUCCUUCUCAUCAUCUCUUUCUGUUCCCUGGGUCUCUCUGCUUAUAGCAGGCAGCUUCAAUGCUCCUUCCUUACUGAAAAUCUCACUGCAGUGUUUGCAAGCCAUCACUUUACCCUGAGAACAGCCAGAGAAUCCAUUUUUAGCAAUGUUACAGAUGUCCUGUUUCCUGGAAGAGCCGCUCUUAUGUUAGAUUUGCUUUUUGGUGGUAAUGGUAGAGCCACUAAGUGUGUGAGAUUGUCACAUGCGGUCUUACCUCAAAUGAUUUUAGAAGUUCAUGAACAACAGAUAUGGGUGCAUGCACCAAGAUAAGAAUUCCUAAUACUUUAAGCAUUUUUUCAACACAUCUAGACUUUGGAAGUCACAUUUACCCUCCUGUUGUCAAGACUUGUGAUAUUUUUGCAGUACUGCAUUAAUGUUAGCAUAGUUGUUAAAGUAGAUUGCAGUCUUUUUUCCUCUGGCUAAACCUGCUGCUUUUAAAAAAAAACUUUGAUCAAAUAUUAAGGUUAAUAUGGCUUUGGAAAAGGAAAUAUUACAGCCAUGUGAUAUUGCUUAGAAACCCGCUCCCAUCCAGGUUUUCCCUACUCGUCACAAGCAAGCACUCCAUGUUGGAUGCAAUGGCUGCUACUUUGCUAUUAAUACUGGAAUGUAAUAGUGAUACUAUCUUACAGAAUGCUCCUAGUGUCAAGAACAUUUGACAACAGCAAGUUCCAUAUUGGGUUGGCCUGAAGAGGUGCUUACAAAUUGACUAACAAUUUGUUCCAGUAACUUUUCAGGUAUCAAAGUUAAGAUUGCUGGUCUUUAAUUCCCUAAGUCCUUUUUGUUUCCCUAGUUAAAGAUCAGUAUUAUGUUUGCCUUUCUCCAAUCUUCUGGGGCCUCACCUGUCUUCCAUAAGUUCUCGAAGAUGGUUGCUUCAGCUAUUUCCUUAACUACUCUAGAAUGAAUUUCAUCAAGCCCUGCUGACUUGAAUACAUCUCAUUUAUCUAAAUAUUCUUCAAACUUUUCUUUCCCUAUUUUGGCUUACAUUCCUUCCCUCUUGUUGUUAAUAUUGGGUUGAAUAUCUGGUCACCAUUAACAACAGCCAGUGUCUCAGACCACUUAGCCAGAGUAAACAAGCAAAAACAUUUACUGAAAUACUUUAAGAAACUAGAUGAAUGUCAAUCAGUCUUUAUUUUUGUGAAACUAAUUUUAGAACAGUAAGUAGAGUACCUGGCAGUCUCAUUUCAGAAAUGUCUUUUUUUGUAUAAAGAGGGAAGAUAUGUAUGUUGCUAAACUGCCAACUACUUGUAAAGCAUGUGUAAAACCCUUGGUUUAAUGUUUCAGAAAUAGUAAGCAGCAAAAUUUAUAAUCAUAGCAAAAGGCAGACAUUUGCCACUGGAUAGCAACAGAUUAUAUAUUUCAGAAAGUUUGAGAACUACAGAAACAGAGGGAGGGAUUCCAUGUAUGUUGCUAUGGCAGCAUACAGGUGCUGUGAAGUCCCUUAUUGGGGAAAAUUACCCUAGUGUGGAGACUAUGUAGGACAACCAGAGACAUCUCUAUGCAGACCUCACAAGGCCUUGGUGUUCAGGACAGGAGGGGGAUGGUUAUGGAAAGUCUGGGGCAGACCAGGCCAGCCCACCAUAAUUAAGAGCAGCUCCCUGGCCUGCCCAGAAUCCAUCAGGUCCAAAGCAACCUUUGCUCUUUCUGUCCUGGGCUGUGCCUGUGUGCACUGUGCAAAAUGGAGAUGCAGUUCAAAAGCUCCCACAAAGGGCUCUCUUUCUCAUCGUAUUAGAACGUAUAAAGACUUAUCCCUCCAUGCUUCCUGCCAAAUUCAUACAUUUCUGCGGGGAAAAAUAUAGGCACUCUGCACUCCAGUUUGGAAGCUCCAGCCUACUUGAUGUCCCUUCACCAUGCUGUUUUGGAUAUGUAUUCUACAAUUGUUUCCAUCCUGUGAAACAUCUGAGAGGGUAUUUUAGACCAUCUUCCUGGCUCACAAGGCUGCUACUAUAUGGCUGCAGUUCAGUUCCUUUCAGUAUCUUACUGCCAGCAUCUAUGAAUAUUUGAGUUAAUGACACUUCACAUACAGAGGCCUCAUUCUCACCUUCACAACCUCCAGUUCCUCCUUACUUGCUGUCUGUUGUUUCUCCAGCCUGGUACUCAGCUGGGAACAAAUCUGGAAGAGAGAAAACAACCCCUUUGAUAAAGUUUAUAAAAAAAAAAACAUUUCAGCAUUAUUUUAUUACAGCUUCACCGAAGUCAUACACAGUUAUUUCCUCAGAAUGAAUCCAUUAGUGGUAGCAAGGCUGACAAAAAAAGGUCUAAAUGGUAGUAUUCAAGAUGCAACCUCAACACUGAGAUUGAUUUGACUAAUUUCAUGGGAAGCUGGCCUACAUCCUUAGCCAGGAGCAGGGCAAAAGAGGCAGUUGCACUUAGCGGGUUGGGAAUAGCUUGAUAAGGAGGUAUUCUUCUCUACAGAAAGUGGUAGAUUCCACUUGGACAACUCCAGAAAGAAUAUAACUGUCUACAAUUCAUGCUCUCAGAAAGCCUGAAAUGAGACAUGCCCUGGUCAAAAGUACUGGGACUAGAAUGCUGAGCAGUCAGCUUGCCUGAGAUAGGGAGUAGGAAGACGUUAAAAAUGGUUUACAAAUAACUAUAUGAAACAGGAGUUUUCUUUAUAAAUGUUACUUGUUUAUAUUCCGCAAUAAUGGCAGUGGUUUUCUUUAUUUCAGAUUCCGCCUUCUCUAGUUGUUUCCUGAAGAUUUCCUUCAGCUGGAAAGUUCAAGGAGAGAAAUCAUAUUAGUGGGCGGGCUUUGAGGAAUUUUCCAACAUGUGAAUGAUGACAUCACUCUUGAACAUACUCUGCAUCUAUAACAGGGGGAAGGAAGACGUCAGUUGCACAUAGAGAGGCAAAGCUAUUGCCCCAGCAGGGGUGAACUGCAGGUAUGGUCUACUCCAGCUUCCACUUAUUAAAACAAACAUUUGAUUUAAAGAAGAAAGCUGAUUUGAAACUUGCAAGCAAGUCCCAACUCAGGAAGGCUAAUAAACUCCAC